GUGUCGUCCUUUGAGCCCUCAUUACAGGGUUUGAAUGUUAAAUAUUUUAAAAGCGAUCACUCUGGAUCCUACAGCUGUUUCAUAUUGAGAAUAAUACCGACCCCCACUCUUCAGUUUAAUGCAAAUACAGUGGAACUUCAUGCAGAUGGUCCAAGCCUUGAGUUAGUGAUUACCACUGAUUCUGGUUGUGUUGAGCUGUUGUAUACAUUUGAUGCCAUAGAUCAAGGGCAAGUUGGUUUUAUCUGGAACUCGAGGGGCAAGAAUAAAUCUGAACAGGUUCAGGUCACCAACAGCUCAUCCAGUGUAAGCAGCGUUCUGCGCUUAUGUGGAGCUGAGAGGAGAGAUGGAGACACCAUUACCUGCAGUGUUUCACAUCCAUCAGGUCACUUUACAUCAAGCUGGACUAUUCAUGAACAGAAUGUACGUCAUGAAGACAACCACUGGGUGGUGAAAUCCUGCAUUGGUGGUUUAACUUGGGCAGUUUUUACAGUUUUAACGGUUGUCAUUAUUUACAAAUGUAAGAAGAGAAAGAAACCUGAUGAUGCUGGGUACACCAACAGUUUAUGAAAACUUCAAUUUUGGCCCUGGGGUUCCCAAUGGAAGAAGUAUAUCAGUCUCUGGGCCUGUAUUCACAAAGAAUCUCAAGGCUCCUACUUGAUGGAUUUAGGAAACCCAUUAGUUAUAGUAAACGUUAAAGUUAUUUACAUUUUAACAAUGCACAAUUUGGGAGACACUUUUAUCCAAAGCAACUUAUGCAUUUAAAUUAUUUUAUCUUAAUUAUUAUUACAAGGGCCAUUCUCCCCAGAGCACCACUGGUUUAAAGAGAAACUAUGCAGGAUUGGCGAUUUCAUCUCCGGUUUCGGUUUCGUUUUUCGUUUUCGCUCGUCUUAUGCUUGCAUAUUUCUCUGCAGAGCUUCCCCGACAGCUUUAGCGUGUAUAUUUAUACAUAUAUAGGCUAUAUAUAAAUAUAUAAAUUGCAAGCGUGGUUCUUCUUGAUCCUUACGUGUCUCAGCCUUCCAGAUGUAAACAAGGAGCGAUCGUCUCCUGAACACACUGCAAGGUUGCAAUAGCGGAUAGGGACACUGGGGGCGGGAGGUAAAUAUUACAGUUUUCGAUAAAACUGGUCAGUCAAGCAAAACAACGAUUUCUAAGCGAUUUUAUGACUAUGAAAAAGUUGCAUAGGGUCUCUUUAAGUGCCUUGCUCAAGGGCUCAAUGGUGGAAGCUACGAAUUGCACCCACUUUUCAGGCUACUGAAUGCUAGCCCAGCUCCUUAGCCACUACCACCACCAAGUUCUGUCUGACACACCCAUUAUUUUCUCCAAAAUAUGCAAGUUAGGAAUUACUUUUACAGUCUACCAUUUGCUUUCUCCAUUAUCCAAUAAAGAUCAUCUGACCUCCAUUGUCAUGAGUGGGGUAUUCUGCCUUGUGAAUAUAAGUUGUAGUAUUAUGGAUAUCACGUGGACAGUGAAGUAGCAUACCAUGACAAGAAAUGCUGAAGGAUGUAAUGUGUUGACGUAAAGUGUAUCUAUUAUCUUACUUCUUUGAGGUAACCACCUGACAUAGCAUAAAGAUCACAUGCCAUGUCCAAGAAUGUAUCUAUGUAUAUUUGUGCAUGUAUAAGGAAUUUCAGACAUUUUAUGCUCAGUAGUAAGAUGACCCAUGAUAUUGCAUUGUGACCAUGUAACUGAAGUUACAUGUAUAAGUUGGGAUCUCGACUGACAGGACUUUUGGUUUGUUAGUCGGAUGUGCUGUUGCUUGUAGCCUAACUUUCUGUUGCUUGUAGCCUUUCUCAUACCAGAGUGUGCCUGCGCGUUUUUUGACCACAAUUACAUAGUCUAUGUCUUUUAUUUGUCCCUACUAAAAAGUGACUACAAAAUAAGUUAAGCCUAAUGAUGACCUAAUGACGUGGUAAGCAUGGAUGAGACGUUGACAUUUAAAAAGGGAAAACAUGGACUUCUAUAUGUCUGUUUUAUCCCUGAGAGCAAUUUCUGAGAGCUUGGGCACCAUGUUUCAGCUACUAAAUAUAUUAUAUACCUGCUAAAGAGGCUAAAGCUUAGAUGCAAAUGGGUCUUUCAGGUUAAAGAUCAUUUACAUUGAAGAUAGGAACAUUGAGGACAAAAAGAAAAAGUUUUAGAACAGUCAUCCUAAUCCUAAAAUACGUCAACUGAACUGUAAAGUUCAGGGUUAUUGAAAUGAAACGUCCAAAAUGGUGAGUUGACUGAUUGAAUGUAUUUAGCCGAAGUCUCAAUAUUCAACCUCAACUGUAUAUGAAAUGAUAAUCUAGAGUGAUAGUCUGUUUUACAUUCAGUGUGUGUGUACAAAAUAGAUUAUA